AUUGAACGCUGGCGGUAGGCCUAACACAUGCAAGUCGAACGCGAAAGUCCUUCGGGAUGAGUAGAGUGGCGGACGGGUGAGUAACGCGUAGGAAUCUAUCCUGUAGUGGGGGAUAACGUUUCGAAAGGAACGCUAAUACCGCAUACGCCCCAACGGGGGAAAGCGGGGGAGUCUUCGGACCUCGUGCUAUAGGAGGAGCCUGCGUCGGAUUAGCUAGUUGGUGAGGUAAAGGCUCACCAAGGCGACGAUCCGUAGCUGGUCUGAGAGGAUGAUCAGCCACACCGGAACUGAGACACGGUCCGGACUCCUACGGGAGGCAGCAGUGGGGAAUAUUGCGCAAUGGGCGAAAGCCUGACGCAGCCAUACCGCGUGUGUGAAGAAGGCCUUCGGUUGUAAACCUCUUUCUAGCAGGGACGGAAUGUAGACGGUACCU
rnacentral:rRNA from 1 species